GUUAGAGAAAAGGCAACCAUUUAGAAAUAGCAAUUUUACGCUAUCACAGUCUUUCAAAUGUGGGAUAUUAAAAAUGCACUUUCAUUGCCGUGGAUCCACCCAUAAUCCAUAGAUAGAUGUAUUUACUGUUGAAUAAACUUGGCAGAGAAGGCAUCCCUUGUCCCAGCUCUGUUGUUUUGGGCCUCGACUACAUCAUCACACAAAUUAGAGAAAAUAAAUGCAAUUAGUUGCUGUAUACGGGCCACUGGAAGGGAAUAGUUUUUGACAAUGUUGUGGCGCCAAAACUCUUUAUUGUAAACUGUGGUCCUGUAUAACAAUUUGUUUUUCCUUAAAAUGAAUUUAAGUGAAGCAUAUGCAUUGACUGUAUGUAGCCCUACUGUUGCAGACUGUUGUGAUGAAAAAUAUAUAUCUCAACUGUACUCCAUGGUUGUUAUUAGUGACACAAUAUUAUACAGUAUAGGAUCAAUAUUAGCAAUGAAGCAAGAACAUCUCCAAGGCAUUCCCAGAUUAGCCUUUAUUGUGUUGCUCUGUUCUUGUUAUGUUUAAUGUUCGUCUUCCUCUACUCUCUGUUACAGCACCCUUGGUGGAUUCCAGCCCGAGACACAGCAGUUCAGCCAUGCUGAUGCUCCUGUCAGUACUAUUCCUGGGUUUCUUAUCUACAAAUUCAAGAGGGCGAAUUGGAAAUGCCUGCGAGAGCACGAGGGAGAUUCCAAACUGUACUAGCGUGUAAAGCCGAGGAAGGAAUGCAACAAAUGUGUACAUACAAAGUAUUGCCGUUUUAAGAGUUCCCUCUUUCUUUGGUUUCUUUUGACGUUUCUCAUACACAACCCCAAUGUUAAUAGUUUUCUAAGGGCCUGAUUUAUACUGAUGUGCAUGGGUGUCUUGCUUGAUAGCAUCUAUGCGGCAAAUCUGAAAUCCACUCAACGAGACAAGUUUCAAUUACAAGUAUGAGCUACUUAUGUCACGCUUCUACUAAAGUUGAACCCAGAAGCAGACCAGGACAAGGAGAGUAAGACGAAGGUGAGUAUUUAUUUACAAGUUUGAAUGUAGUGAUAGAAAAAUCCAAGUGACGGAGCGGGCAGCGGAGGUGAGUUGAUGGGAUUGAAUAGGCAGAUCCAAUGAAGUAACUGAAGUCACCGACGACCAGGUAGGGAUGAGAUGAGUGUUUCGGGUGAAUGACUGUAGACAGAAAAAACGGAGGUGAGUUCAAGGCAAGCAAGACGUACAAAACAGCAAAACAAACUCUAUCAAACUGGAGGCUGAUACACUGGCACAACAUACUGUUCAUGGCUAACGAUCCUGCAGGGAAUGGAUGUCAGGUCAGCGCUUAUGAAGUGGAGGGGUGAUGAUCAGGACCAGGUGUGCAGAUAGCUGAUGGGAUACAGGUGCAGGUACUCAGAGAUACAGGGUGCGUUCCAGGACACCGGAAAAAACACUCGAGGACAGAACACAGGCAAAAACAGACUCAGGAAGCGGGAUUCGUGACAAUUUAGGCCUUGGAUUAAAAAGAAACGUUACAUUUUUAGUCCGUAAUUGUCUUAUUUCAUGGACUUUUAUCAAAGCCUUUAUCAAAACCUACGAAGAGAGUUUUGUACAUUUCUUAAUGUUUUACUUUUCAUGAGGUAUAAGCGUUUUUGCCUGUAUGGGCCAGCUUGUCUAGGUCUCCGGGUCUAACAGGGAAUAUUAUUGAAAAUGUACCAUAUUAUCUUUAGAUAUCAGUUAUCGCUCUGUAUAUACUAUAUGUAGGUUCACUUUUCACACACUUCGAUUAAAAGUACAAUGCCGAACACAGGGGGUCUAGUCAUGGCCUGUUAUCAGUUCUUAAAAGUGUGUUAAAAACAAGAUGUUACUUAUAGAAAGAGUCCAACUUUGUUUUUAAUGAGGUCUUGUGCAUGUUAUUAUUAAUGACAGAUGUAUGUGUUGUAGAUAAGCAAGUGUUGUAAAUAGUUAUUUUCUAUUAAUUAAAAGAGCUCAGUCACUUUUACAUACAGUAUA